rnacentral:rRNA from 1 species
GGAAUUUUGGACAAUGGGCGCAAGCCUGAUCCAGCAAUGCCGCGUGCAGGAUGAAGGCCUUCGGGUUGUAAACUGCUUUUGUACGGAACGAAACGGUCUGCCCUAAUACGGUGGGCUAAUGACGGUACCGUAAGAAUAAGCACCGGCUAACUACGUGCCAGCAGCCGCGGUAAUACGUAGGGUGCGAGCGUUAAUCGGAAUUACUGGGCGUAAAGCGUGCGCAGGCGGUUAUAUAAGACAGAUGUGAAAUCCCCGGGCUCAACCUGGGAACUGCAUUUGUGACUGUAUAGCUAGAGUACGGUAGAGGGGGAUGGAAUUCCGCGUGUAGCAGUGAAAUGCGUAGAUAUGCGGAGGAACACCGAUGGCGAAGGCAAUCCCCUGGACCUGUACUGACGCUCAUGCACGAAAGCGUGGGGAGCAAACAGGAUUAGAUACCCGGG